UGCGUAGACGGCAAAGCAAGUCAAUUAUAAAAUCUCCUGGCUUAACCGGGAGCUCGUAGUUGAAACUGUUUUGCUAGAGGAUGGAAGAGAGAAGUGGAAUUCUCGGAGUAGCGGUAAAAUGCGUAGAUCUCGAGAGGAACACCGAUGGCGAAGGCAGCUUCUUGGUCCAUUUCUGACGUUGAGGCACGAAAGCGUGGGGAGCAAACA
rnacentral:rRNA from 1 species